rnacentral:lncRNA from 1 species
UCGCUUCGAUAUUCCAUGAAGAGAACUGUUCCAAAUCCAACCAAAUUAUACUGCUGAUAUAAGGCUUUAACAAAUUAGUUUUUUGUUCAAUGUUUACUUUAUUAGAUUGCAACACAAUACUUUUUUCUUUUCAGAAAGAUGGUGGAGAAUAUUAAAUAUAUGAGUCUACAAUAUGCUAAGGAAGUCUCUCUGCUGAACUAAGAUCUAAUGAAUUUAUUGGAAGUUUAGAGAGGUGUGUAUGCUAUGCAUGUGGUGAGACAACUACCAGUAAUAUUUGAGCAGGCUACAUAGAAACUUAUUUUUUGUUUAGAGAAUUUAACAAAUGAAUAUCGUAAUAUCUUCGUUCUGAUCUUCCGAUACAAAAGAAUUGAUAAUUGAUAGCAUGAUGAUUUGUUUACGGAUUCCCCAUCAUUUAUCUAAUAAAUGAAAAGUUCCACCCACUGAAACUAUAUUAGAAUACAAAAAUUUAAUUUGUUGAUUUGUUUGAUUUCUAAUUCUUAGUUUUCUCCUGGUUUUCAGCUACAUGUAUUAUGCCUGGAAUCAAAGGAUAACGCGAGUCCUAUUUCAGGUGG